GAGUUUGAUCCUGGCUCACGACGAACGCUGGCGGCGCGCCUAACACAUGCAAGUCGAACGAGCGAGAGAGAGCUUGCUUCCUCAAGCGAGUGGCGAACGGGUGAGUAACGCGGGAGGAACCUGCCUCAAAGAGGGGGACAACAGUUGGAAACGACUGCUAAUACCGCAUAAGCCCACAGCUCGGCAUCGAGCAGAGGGAAAAGGAGCAAUCCGCUUUGAGAUGGCCUCGCGUCCGAUUAGCUAGUUGGUGAGGUAACGGCCCACCAAGGCAACGAUCGGUAGCCGGACUGAGAGGUUGAACGGCCACAUUGGGACUGAGACACGGCCCAUACUCCUACGGGAGGCAGCAGUGGGGAAUAUUGCACAAUGGGGGAAACCCUGAUGCAGCGACGCCGCGUGGAGGAAGAAGGUCUUCGGAUUGUAAACUCCUGUUGUUGAGGAAGAUAAUGACGGUACUCAACAAGGAAGUGACGGCUAACUACGUGCCAGCACCCGCGGUAAAACGUACGUCACAAGCGUCGUCCGGAAUUACUGGGUGUCAAGGCAGCGCACGCGGGAACACCAGUUGGAACUGAAAUCUAUGGGCUCAACCCAUAAACUGCUUCCACAACCGUCUUUCUCGACUUACUGCACACGUCAGCGGAAUUCCCGGUGUAGCGGUGGAAUGCGUAGAUAUCGGGAGGAACACCAGUGGCGAAGGCGGCCUACUGGGCACCAACUGACGCUGAGGCUCGAAAGUGUGGGUAGCAAACAGGAUUAGAUACCCUGGUAGUCCACACCGUAAACGGUGAUUACUAGGUGUUGGAGGAUUGACCCCUUCAGUGCCGCAGUUAACACAAUAAGUAAUCCACCUGGGGAGUACGACCGCAAGGUUGAAACUCAAAGGAAUUGACGGGGGCCCGCACAAGCAGUGGAGUAUGUGGUUUAAUUCGACGCAACGCGAAGAACCUUACCAAGUCUUGACAUCCUGCGACGCACAUAGAAAUAUGUGUUUCCUUCGGGACGCAGAGACAGGUGGUGCAUGGUUGUCGUCAGCUCGUGUCGUGAGAUGUUGGGUUAAGUCCCGCAACGAGCGCAACCCUUACUGUCAGUUACUACGCAAGAGGACUCUGGCAGGACUGCCGUUGACAAAACGGAGGAAGGUGGGGAUGACGUCAAAUCAUCAUGCCCUUUAUGACUUGGGCUACACACGUACUACAAUGGCGUUAAACAAAGAGAAGCAAGACCGCGAGGUGGAGCAAAACUCAGAAACAACGUCCCAGUUCGGACUGCAGGCUGCAACUCGCCUGCACGAAGUCGGAAUUGCUAGUAAUCGUGGAUCAGCAUGCCACGGUGAAUACGUUCCCGGGCCUUGUACACACCGCCCGUC
rnacentral:rRNA from 1 species